AAUCAACGCUGGCGGCGCGCUUAACACAUGCAAGUCGAACGAGAAAGCGGGGGCAACCUCGUGAGUAAAGUGGCGUACGGGUGAGUAACACGUGGGUAAUCUACCUCCGGGUGUGGAAUAACGCUGGGAAACCGGCGCUAAUACCGCAUAAGCUUGGAAAAGGAAAGCAGCAAUGCGCCGGGAGAGGAGCCCGCGGCCGAUUAGCUAGUUGGUGAGGUAACGGCCCACCAAGGCAAAGAUCGGUAGCCGGCCUGAGAGGGCACACGGCCA
rnacentral:rRNA from 1 species